GGUCCCUAACACUCCUGUUGGUUUAGUGGGGAUGCGUGGAUGGACAGAUCCCAGGGAGGACCCUUGAGAGUAGUUUGUGUGAUUUCUUCUGCGGAAAGUGACGACAGGAAGUGUGUCUUUCUUUUGAACUUCAGAGACGUGACUAUCAUGGGCGGACCCCUGAGGAUGCUUAUCAGAGGUAACAUGGUCAAAUUGCAAAUGGAGUAGGAAUCCCAUAAAAAU
rnacentral:lncRNA from 1 species